rnacentral:rRNA from 1 species
AGAGUUUGAUCAUGGCUCAGGACGAACGCUGGCGGCGUGCCUAACACAUGCAAGUCGAACGAGGUCCAUCCGGUGGCAACACCGGGGAAGACCUAGUGGCGAACGGGUGAGUAACACGUGAGAAACCUGCCCCGAAGACCGGGAUAACCCUCCGAAAGGAGAGCUAAUACCGGAUACCCCCACCGGAUCGCAUGAUCUGGUGAGGAAAUGGAUUCCGCUUCGGGAGGGUCUCGCGGCCUAUCAGCUUGUUGGUGGGGUAAUGGCCCACCAAGGCUUCGACGGGUAGCUGGUCUGAGAGGACGAUCAGCCACACUGGGACUGAGACACGGCCCAGACUCCUACGGGAGGCAGCAGUGGGGAAUCUUGCGCAAUGGGCGAAAGCCUGACGCAGCAACGCCGCGUGGGGGAUGAAGGCUCUCGGGUUGUAAACCCCUUUCAGCAGGGACGAAACUGACGGUACCUGCAGAAGAAGCCCCGGCCAACUACGUGCCAGCAGCCGCGGUAACACGUAGGGGGCAAGCGUUGUCCGGAUUUAUUGGGCGUAAAGAGCUCGUAGGCGGCUUAGUAAGUCGGGUGUGAAACCUCCAGGCUCAACCUGGAGACGCCACCCGAUACUGCUGUGGCUUGAGUCCGGUAGGGGAGCGUGGAAUUCCUGGUGUAGCGGUGAAAUGCGCAGAUAUCAGGAGGAACACCAGCGGCGAAGGCGGCGCUCUGGGCCGGAACUGACGCUGAGGAGCGAAAGCGUGGGUAGCAAACAGGAUUAGAUACCCUAGUAGUCC